rnacentral:tRNA from 1 species
GCCUUCGUGGUGUAACGGUAGCACACUCGGCCCGUAUUCGAGAGGUCCAGGUUCGAGACCCGGCGAGGGCA